UCUCGCACGCCACAUGCCCUCCAAGAACUCUUUCACUGCCUCAAUCACUCGUCCACUCGUCUCUCCACUGAGCCCCAGCAGCAGCACCGGCUCAGGCCCAAAGAAGAAGAAGAAGAGUAGAUUCAACGGAGCUGCCUGCGUAGCGACCUAAGCAUUACUUUUUCUCGUGUUUACCUUCAAACUACAAUGAAGAGAAGUUCCGCAGCCUUUAAGAAGAAGGUGAAGGGCACAGGGACGGCCAGGGAAAGUAAGAAAAGCUGCAGAGAAGCCUUCAUAUGACGAAAGUGCCUCCACCACCGCUUCCACCACCACCACCACUACCACCAAGUCACCACACUAAGUGGUGGCAGCGUCAGCCUGAGACGAUUAGUACUGCGGCACGCGUACGUCCGGCUUCCCAAACCUCCGAGGGAGCUGCUCGUGCAACACACUGAGACUCGUCUGGAGCCCAGGAAGAAGCUUGUGUCUGAGUACGAGGCGCUGAUGGAAGUGGCGGCGCUGUCAGCCAGUCCAGCUGGCCACCUCUCCGGGCCCAUAGUCGUGGGGGGCAUCUUGGCGGAGGGGACUGUAAGGGUUCAUGGAGCUCCUGGCUCAAAUUACAAGCAAAAGUACUUGAAGGGCGGGAACUUGAGGCUGCUGAGUACCCCCUUGGCCGAGGGAGGGGACCAGGCCUUCCUAACACUUAGCUUUACUCAGGUCAACCGCAAGAGUCUGGACUUCCAGAUCAAGUAUGGGUGCAGCCUGCAGCACCUCCACGGGGUAGUGAGCCAGCUAAAGGCCCACCUGGAGCAGUCUGGCAGCCUCAGCGCCCUGCCGGCCCUCGUGGAGUGAUUGUCUUGCUGUCUGGGGUGACUUAGGAGGCUGGACAAGGGAAAGGGAAGGCAUGGUUAGGGUAGUGAUUGUCCUGCUGUUUGGGGUGACUUAGGAGGCUGGACAAGGGAAAGGGAAGGCAUGGUGGAUGAGUGGAAUAGGCUUAGCAGUCAUGUGGUGAGUGCCAAUACAAUUGUCACAUUCAAAAAUAGACUAGAUAAAUUCAUGGACAGCGAUAUUAGGUGGGGUUAGAUACACGGGAGCUUAGGGUCAAAGGAGCUGCCUCGUACAGGCCUACCGGCCUCUUGUAGACUCCUGCGUUCUUAUGUUCUUAUGGUUAGGGUAGUGAUUGUCCUGCUGUUUGGGGUGACUUAGGAGGCUGGACAAGGGAAAGGGAAGGCAUGGUUAGGGUAGUGAUUGUCCUGCUGUUUGGGGUGACUUAGGAGGCUGGACAAGGGAAAGGGAAGGCAUGGUUAGGGUAGUGAUUGUCCUGCUGUUUGGGGUGACUUAGGAGGCUGGACAAGGGAAAGGGAAGGCAUG